rnacentral:lncRNA from 1 species
GUAGAGACAGCGUUCAUGUCUGCUAUUGGGGAUCAGGGAAGAGUCGUGGUAGAACAGCCACAGUCCGUGACGGGAGAAGUGCAUCAUGAGAAAAGAGACCCAGGAGAGCAACUGACUGAAGUGCUCUUGGAAUGACGACUUCAGUUUGCUGGUGCAUUGGGUCAAAGCACCGGGGAAACAUGGUUGAGUGCCCGGGCUGGAGAGAAGAACACAGUGGUUCCAUGCUCAGGUACUGUAUAGUCUUGGGUUUGAACCCUGACUCCGUAACAGAAUAUCUGUAGAUCUUUGGCAAAUUUUUUAACCUCUCUAGGCCUCACUUUCCUCACGUGGGGAAUAAAGAUGGAUAGUAGAACUUGCCUGACAGGGUAUUGCGAGACUCAAAUGAAACAUUUUCAUGAAUCCCUUAGCAUCAUUUUAGUCAUCACUGCAAACGUGGUAGAUGGAUGCGUUAAUGACCCCCCUGUAUCCAUGUGCUUUCCAAUGGGACUUUGCAGCUCUUCCCAUUGUAAAGUGGACUCCAUUUCCCCACCCUUGAAUCUGGGCUGGCCUUAUGACAUUCUUUGGCCAACAGAAUGUGGCAGAAGUGAUAGUGUGCUAAUUGUCAGUCUAGGCCUCAAGAGGCCUAGCACAUUUCCACUUUCUCUCGGGACCUCUGCCUUUGCCAUAAGAACAAGCCCAGGAGAGCUGCUGGAGGAUAAGAGACCUUGUGGAGUAGAGAGGAAACUCCCCAGAGGAGGCCCUCUUAGACCAACCAAUCUGCCAGUUGUCUACAGAGACAUGAAUGCGUCCAGCUAAGAUCAGAA